GACGAACGCUGGCGGCGUGCUUAACACAUGCAAGUCGAGCGGUAAGGCCCUUUCGGGGGUACGACGAGCGGCGAACGGGUGAGUAACACGUGGGUGACCUGCCUUUAGUCUCUGGGAUAAGCCUGGGAAACCGGGUCUAAUACCGGAUAUGACUCCGCGGCGCAUGUUGUGGGGUGGAAAGCCUUGUGCGGCUGGAGAUGGGCCCGCGGCCUAUCAGCUUGUUGGUGGGGUGAUGGCCUACCAAGGCGACGACGGGUAGCCGGCCUGAGAGGGCGACCGGCCACACUGGGACUGAGACACGGCCCAGACUCCUACGGGAGGCAGCAGUGGGGAAGUCUUGCGCAAUGGGCGAAAGCCUGACGCAGCGACGCCGCGUGAGGGAUGACGGCCU
rnacentral:rRNA from 1 species